rnacentral:rRNA from 1 species
UAGGGAAUCUUCCGCAAUGGGCGAAAGCCUGACGGAGCAACGCCGCGUGAGUGAUGAAGGUCUUCGGAUCGUAAAACUCUGUUAUUAGGGAAGAACAAAUGUGUAAGUAACUAUGCACGUCUUGACGGUACCUAAUCAGAAAGCCACGGCUAACUACGUGCCAGCAGCCGCGGUAAUACGUAGGUGGCAAGCGUUAUCCGGAAUUAUUGGGCGUAAAGCGCGCGUAGGCGGUUUUUUAAGUCUGAUGUGAAAGCCCACGGCUCAACCGUGGAGGGUCAUUGGAAACUGGAAAACUUGAGUGCAGAAGAGGAAAGUGGAAUUCCAUGUGUAGCGGUGAAAUGCGUAGAUAUAUGGAGGAACACCAGUGGCGAAGGCGACUCUCUGGUCUGUAACUGACGCUGAGGUUCGAAAGCGUGGGUAGCAAACAGG